AACGGAUCGUGAGUAGAUCGGCCGUCUUCGGACGCGCUUCCGAUCGAAAACCUUCGUAAGUCGCUCGCCUCGACACAUCCAAAUUCCCGAAUUCGAUUUCUUGCAUUGACGCCUUGGCUCACCGAGCCGCGAGCGUCAUCGCUUUUUGACAACGGAAGUAGUGGUAGAUCGCGGAUUUAGAAUCCUUGUUGAGAGACGUCAGUUCGUCCGACAGCACGUCGCAACGGCAACGUUGCAACAUGCUCCGUCUGGAUGGAGCAGAUUGUCACUCGAACAAAGUUUGUUGUUUUUGGAAGAUCGUAGGAGCUCUGCUUGAACACAGAUUGUUGUAGUCAAGCGAGUGAAGGCAUGUGGGGGAUGCCUGGGCACACGGAGGCGAUGAAGGCCGUGGUAAGCUGCGAUAAGCUUGGGGGAGCGGCACACACGCAAUGAUCCCGAGAUGG
rnacentral:sRNA from 1 species